rnacentral:rRNA from 1 species
UACAGAGGGGGCAAGCGUUGUUCGGAAUUACUGGGCGUAAAGCGCGCGUAGGCGGAUUGGAAAGUUGGGGGUGAAAUCCCGGGGCUCAACCCCGGAACUGCCUUCAAAACUCCCAGUCUGGAGGUCGAGAGAGGUGAGUGGAAUUCCGGGUGUAGCGGUGGAAUGCGUAGAGAUCCGGAAGAACACCGGUGGCGAAGGCGGCCUGCUGGGACAUGGCUGACGCUGAGGCGCGACAGCGUGGGGAGCAAACAGG